CACUGCAGGGGAGCUGGGCUACAUGACCUUUAAGGGUCCCUUCCAACUGAAAUGAUUUUAUGACUAAGAGCUGCAGAACUGUCUUAUAAGUCUGGAAGUGCUGGUCACAGCAGGGCUGUGUGCAGAGAGCUGUGUGAUGAGCCAGGAUAUAACUGCACAUGCUGUGCAGUCGCUGUGUCUACAGGUCAGCGGCAUGGCCUGAGUAGCUGAUUCCAGAGCUGUGCUACAGCUUCUGCCAGGCAUCUGUUCUGUGGGCUUUUGAGCACCAUAUGGUUUUAAAAAUCAUAGACAUAAUCUUGUUUCCCCAUUGGAACCCUAUCUUGAAGUAAGAAUUACGACCUUUUACGAGAAGAGGCUGGAAGAAGUUGUUGUGUUUAGAUUAAAAGAAGUUAUGAGAAGAUUUGGCGCCUGAAAGGAGGGCAAGCAUUGGUAGGUUAUUGUAUUGGUAGAGUACCGUUAUUUAAAUGUAAGGCAAAUGUGUAUAAAAUGGGCACUGAUGAAGUUACACUGUGAAUUAAAUGAUUUGGUAUUUUCAGAGCAAUGAGACUGCGGAGCAGCUUUCCUGCACUGAGAACUGCAAGCCCAUCCGCUUUGAAAUCGAGUCCUGAUCAAUCGAUAAAAGUGCUUAUGUGAUAAAAUUGCCUGAGAUAGCAGGAGACUAAACUCCAGAAGCUUUCCAAUUCCUUGUUUCUAUUUAAUGUUGCUUUUAAUGCUUAUUCCAUGUAUAAUUUAAUGCACGGUUUACUGCACAGCACUAUCAUCCAUUAAAUAAAAAUAUUAAUUUCCUUUAGAGCAUUUUAGAAAUGCUGUCAUCCUGCUAAACAUUAACAAUGUUAUCUGUGUAACACCAUUAUGAAAUGGAUGGCAUUAUCUUUUCCUAUGUCCAGGAAAUGAAAAAUAACACCUCUAGAUACCUGUGUUGUGAAAUAUAAGGAUUCCUUUUGCAGUGUGUUGGACAAUCAAAGACUUACAUUUCAACUUUCUAAUGCUUCCAUGUAUUGCGAGUCCACUUCUCCCUGACUUUAGAUGUGCCUAUGGAUGUUCAGCAUCUUAGCAGCUCACAUAACAAAUUGCUCAACUGAGGUGGGGAAGAAAAUGAGGAAUACACAUGACACAGAUUCCUUAGACUUGCAUGUGAAUUUGAGGAUGGAGUUAGAAUUCAGCUUUCUAGAGGUUUAAUCAUUGUCCAUAACUUUAAGGCUGCUUUCCCUUUCUGUAUCUCUCCUUUUGCUCAGUUCUUGCCCAUAUUCUCGCCAGUCCUGCCCUCCUUUCUGUAAUUCUUUACCCACUUCUACUCGCUGGCCUUUUCUUUUUCUCAGCUCCCAAGAAAACUUGUGAGUGGAGGACAGGACUUGCUUAGGAGGACUGAACAUUUAGUAGUCUUAUGUGAGAGCUGGACUAUGGAGGCUUGAGAAAAUUUACUGGCAAAUUUUAAGACGUUUCCUGAGCAUACUCAAAUUGAGGUUUUUUGUUAAGUUUACCACAUUUGGGUAGUUUUCCAUAAAGCCUGCAAAAGACUUGACCUCAACUGGCCAACUUCUUGCUAAGUUAUAAGGAGUCACUCUAGUGGUUGUAUAUGGUUUGGAGACUUGGGAACAAAGGAAUAAGGCGAAGGUCUUUUGUUACACUAUUGUAUUUUGUGUUCACAUUGUAAAGGUGCUGGAGAUUGGCAAAAGUGCUUUUCAUGUUAAACCUACAUUAAAGAUAAAAAGACACCCAUCUAAGAGGCAAAAGCAUCACCAUCGUCCAGUAAGUAAAACAUAACUGUGAGCUUCUGGGACCAAGCUCUUUAGACUUUAUUCAACCUGACUCCACAUUGUAUCUGCAUUGUGCUGUGAGGAAGGCCACAGGACUUCCUACGUUUUGAAAAUACUUGCAGGGUUCGUUCAUUACCGUGUUAAACAAGUCACUUCAGGGAGGGCAAGCCUCUAAAGGAAGUUGUUGAGUGUGUAGCUUAUAAUGGGUGCAGUUUUUCUGCAAACUAUGUCCUCAUGGGAGAAGAGAAAUCACAACAUGUCUGGGUUAGGAAGAAGAGUGUCAGUGUGGGGUGGUGGCAUUGAAUUUCACUUCUGCUGCUGAGCACCAUUUGUCUGAUUUAGCUUGCUGCAUGAUAAGUGUAUCUGUGCUGAGAGUCAUUUGUCUUUGCUGCUGAAGGAUGAUGCUGAUGGUUAUUGAUACCUGCUGCUGGGGUAAAUGCUGUUGUAGCCUGAUAGACUGGAGCAGCUAUUGAUCACAGUUGUAGUAAAAUCUCAGUAUUUGACACUUGCUUUUUCCAACCAUUGCAGUUGUUAAUGUUAAAUUCCACUUCUCUCUCUGGAUGUGAAAUUACUAUCACGUUAUCGCAUAUAACUGUGUUCCUCUGCAUCUUUUCCUUCUGCAUUGUGUGGUACAGAGGAGUGGAAGAAGCUCUGGGGAGUGCAGUCAAAUCUCUUAUCCAAGUGAGCUGCCUACCUCUCUGCUGCAGGCCUGGGAGGAUGCUGGCUGAACAUAGAGCAGUUCCUCUCUUCGUGCUGUUUGGAUAAGAACAGAAGCCUGGCAGUGCUGGCCCCAAGCAGGUCCAAGGAACCUCUUGCAAAGUGGCUCUUAAGCCCUAGGGCCAAUCUAGGCUGCAGCUGCCAGGAGAGGGCUGUGAAGGAGUCUCAGUGGAGAUUCCUCUCCAGAAAUGCCAUGCAUGGGUCUAGCGAGGCCUAGGGACAAAACUUUUGCAGAUAUCCCUCUUUUUGUUUUGCCUGUCCCUGUCCCAAACUUGUGAGGGAGAGAGCAGAGGAGCCAGCUGGGGCUAAAUGACAUCCAUGAAAGUUGAGGUGUGUCUUUUUUUUUUUUAUGGAAAUGAAACAAACAGUGUUGUAAUGGAUUCUGUUCAGUUAAACGCAACUUGCUCUGCCAAAACAUAAUAAAGAGCCUGCUUUUGCAUGAACAAACAGGAGUGGCAGAAGUCACACAGACUGCCAAGUAAAUGUUAUCCUCCUGAAGCUUCUCCUAUUGGGAGCUAACAAUAGGGCCCCUAGAAUUAAGAUAAAUGCAGCUAAUUUCCCCGUAAUGGUGAUUUGAUUAUUCUUUCUUUACAAGUAACUAGUUCCCUUUUCUAAUUAUAUAGCUUGCUUUUAUCCAAGAAAAAUUACCCAAUUUACGAGAGUGAACCAUUAAAGUCACUCAUCUGUGAAGAGCUUAUUGUAGUGCCAGCUUCAGAAAACAUCUAUAUUGCAAGGGAUACGUAUAGAUUUUUGUAUCUUCUGCUGUUUUGCUAACGGUCAUGACAAAUGAGAAAGCAGACAGCAGGAAUGGAUGUGCAAGGCAGAAAUGAAACACACGGGGCUGGGAGCAUAGACCCUUACACCCAUGUAGCAUGUCUCUAAAGCAGUGACAAGUCUUGGAGGGAAAGGGGGUACUGAGGAACAAGACAGAAAUGUGUAAUGUUAUGCUGGUACUUGGUUACCCUGCACAUAGCAGGGAGGUUGAAACUAGACGACCAUUAUGGUCCUUUUCAAUCCAGGCCAUUCUAUGAUUCUGUGAUUCUUUCUCUGACAGCUGCUCUAGGGCAUGCUCUCCAAAGGGGAGAUGUGACUUCACCCAACCCGACUGCGCAGCAGGAUGUGUAGCUAGGAGCAUGAUUAUUCUCAGUGUUGGCAAACCAUAACAACAAAGGAUAUAACGGAGAGCACAGAAGAGAUGGGGUAGAAAAGAAGGUAGAGAAGCAAUGCCUGUGGGACAACUAUCCAGACUCCUGUGAACUCUGCAAGCCAAAAUAAAGGUUGAAGAAAGAAUCAGAAAAGAAGUUUGUUUCAAGAUGGAAAAUGGCAAUCAGUUAUACCUCUCAAGCCUGGAAGGCCUUUCUGCUUGAAAUACUCUUUGAGUCUGGGUCGUGACACAAAGUGCUGCGUGCUGGCGUUGGUGUAGUAAUGGACUUUCUUUUUUGACCAGCACCCUGUUGUAUUCAGGUUUUUAAACUGUAAGGUAGUUAAACCAUUUUAAACAGCUCAUCCUGAUUCCAAAUAUUUUUGUAAGAAAAUAGUCCUUUGUUGAAGUUGACUAGAUUGGCAGGUAGCCAUCAGUGAGGCAGAAAAAUGUUACGUCCAUAGGAGAGUAUUGUAAAUGUCUCUGCUAGGUAACUGCACAGGUAACAUGCAGGCAUGCUGGCAGCAGUCCAUGUAGACAUGAAGUGAAAUAACAAAGACUUCCCCUGACCAGCAGUUGUUUGAGAAGUAAUUAGUUCUCCAGUUUCAUAAGUUUACAAAGGAGCUAAGAACCCAUUUUGGAGUCUUAAGGAACAAUUGCAUGGAAUAAUUAGAAUUACUGCAUCAAAUUUUUGCUGAAUAUGUAUUAAUUCUUACAGAUUAAUAGGAUGAUGUAUCCUGGAAUAUAAAUGCUGUUUUCCAAGAUUUUGCUAGGACAUUCCCCAAAAUGACAUGUGAGUUUCUCCCUUGUAGGUAUAGUUCCAAGUUCCUGAAUUUUGACCAUGGAGGCCCUAGGAUCUCUUUGUUGCCUGCAGAAGGCAUUUCCAGAGGAUAAUUCUUCCCAUCCUACUAAAACUCUGGAAAUGUCUCUUUCCAGAUCCUUUAGCACUCCUGCACUCCUGCACUCCUAACAAGAUGAAACUGGCUGAACAUAAGCCAAAGGCUAGGAAUAUGAUAGCAGUUUGAUACAUAUUCAUUAUGGCUGAAGUUUCCUCCUAAUGGACCAAUACAAAGACUAUAUACUAAUUGAGUGCAGGCUAAGUUCACUCAGGAGGUGCCCAAGUGGUGAUCAGGCCCUCACUGACACUAUAUGUAGGGCUGAAUUUCACAUUGUUUAAAGCAUCAUUUGUCAGGGCCUUGAUUUCUCUAGAUUUUCUCCUUUUAUAUCACACAUACUUUCAUUCAAAAUCAUACUUCUUUCAGGUGGAGAGGAAUAUUCUGCAUUGCUGAUGCAACUGACUUUAUGAUUAUUAGCACACAGCAGUUUAAUAGGUUUGAGCAAACAGUAGUUGCAGGCCCAAUAGAUACAAUGAUUGUCAUCAGGAGUCAUUCAGUGCUUUCCUUUUACAGGGCACAAACUCCCUGUGACUCACACUAACAGGAUAAGGUCAGAUUUUCAUGUGGCGUAAAUCAGGAAAACGUUGCCUGUGGUAAUGUGUGUGUUUUCUGUAUUAAAUUAAUUAAAGAUUUUUUUCUUGUAUGCUCCUUGUAAGAUUUAUGUAAUCUGAGUCAGUCCAACCCUGCAUCUGAAAUUCUUCUAUUGUACCUCUCUGGACACUUUCUGUUUCACAUGAAUCUCUGUGAUGGGAAACUUGGAACAG